ensembl:lncRNA
UUAGAGUGCUUCUGUAAAAAAGAAAAACGUCAAAAAACAAAAUUAUAGAGUGAAUGCAAAAUAUGCAAUUGUGCCUUUUUAUACCGAUUGGUAUGAUUUAAAGUUGGUUUGGGAUGGUACAAAACCAGUCAUCCAUUCUGAAAGUAGUUGGGGUGGUAUUUAAGACAAACAUUAAAUACCUCCUGAUGAUUCUCACGUGAAAGAUGAAAAACCCAGUAACUUUCUGGCUUCUCUGGAUGUGGCCAGUCAAAUGUCAGUAAGCCUAAUAAACUAUUGGUUGGGUCUUAACACGGAAGGUUCAAGAUAUGAAUAUUCAUUCCUAGCAUUUUGUGGUUUAAUAACCAAACAACUACUUUUUUUGUACCGCCCAAUACUAUGACGAUGUAACAGAGAAUUGAUGAUCCUGUUGCUAUGGUAUCCUACUGAUGUACAUGUUCAAUAUGACAACCGUUAUGCGCAUGAAAUACUCUCCAGGAUUGAAGACGUUAAAUGUGGUGUGUAUGAGAAACGCUUUGAGACAUUUGACUGUUCAGGGCACCAGGAAGCCUAGAAAUGCUUAUGCAGAGAGGUGGGUGAAAAAGAAAUGCGUAAAAAAAAAAGCUGCAAGGUAGAGAAGCUGAAAUAAUAAACACCCCAGGAGAUAAAGCAACCACUAAAGCACGCGCGCACACACACACACACACACAUUUACAACAGUCACACUGCAAAGACUCAACGGAUGCAGAAAUUCUGUGAACUGUUGUAUGUUACGACACUGAGAACAAUAAAGGAAGUGUUACACAUUCAGUAAACAUAAGUUGCAUGUCUGUAUUUCUAGGCUGGGGAACGUGACGUAGAGACAGGCUAUUAUUAUAUUAGCUAUUUUGAUAGUAGCAAAAAAAAAAAAAAAAAGCUUUACUCGUACUGUUGAGUGCAUACAUUCUUCGUGUAUGUCUGAAUUUACAAUAUUAUCUGAUAUUACUGGAACAGGGACUGUAUGAAUCAGUACCUUCCUUGACCUGGUACUGCGCAGAUAACGGUCUCAAAGCUAUUUGUUUUUAGAAGAAUGAAAAUCAGGGGCGGAAAAGUGUGAUGUUUUUCCUUCCUGAGGUGUUUGUUCAAUCAGAGCUCUCUCCUGUUUGUUGUUGAGCAUUCACGGUCCGUGAUGAGAGUUGUAAUAUUAACCAUAACCUAUGUGUCCUGCGACUUGGAUGUUGAUAUAGAAAUUGAGGAGACAGUUUAUCAUCGUUUAAUUAUGAUUCACUAUGCACGCAGCUUAGCUGAACAUGGCAAAAUGUAUUGAACGCAAGUCACAUCUAUUUAUGAAAUAUUUUACAUAAUUUAAUUUGCUUUUGUACAGGUUUCUGUAAAUAAAUUGCUUGUCAUUUUUGUCUCUGCAGAAAUUAAAAUAUAACAUGG